rnacentral:misc_RNA from 1 species
UCCGGUUUGUCACCGGCAGUCCCAUUAGAGUGCUCAACUGAAUGUAGCAACUAAUGGCAAGGGUUGCGCUCGUUGCGGGACUUAACCCAACAUCUCACGGCACGAGCUGACGACAGCCAUGCAGCACCUGAACCAGCGGUCCCCGAAGGGAAAAUCCUAUUUCUAGGACGGUCCACUGUUGUCUAGUCCAGGUAAGGUUCUUCGCGUUGCGUCGAAUUGAACCACAUGCUCCACCGCUUGUGCGGGCCCCCGUCAAUUCCUUUGAGUUUUAAUCUUGCGAUCGUACUCCCCAGGCGGGGCACUUAAUGCGUUAGCUGCGGCACUGAGAAGUAAACCUCCCAACAUCUAGCACUCAUAGUUUACGGCGUGGACUAC